AACUCCUCCUUCAAUG
rnacentral:tRNA from 1 species